rnacentral:tRNA from 1 species
GCGCCUUCUCCAAAAUUGCCGUUUUUCUUGGAAUUCUGGGGCAGGCGAGAGGAUUGCAAAUCCUCCAUCGCCGGUUCGAAUCCGGCCGGCGCC